GUCCCUGUAGCUUAAUCCAACCAAAAGCAUAACACUGAAGCUGUUAAGAUGGCCCCCAUGCGCCCAAGGACA
rnacentral:tRNA from 1 species